CUAAGAGAAAGGUAGAACACGAAGCAGUAUAUCCUGCUUCAAUAAAAAGACUUUGAAGUACACAAAGUCUAUACUCUUAAAACGAUGCGCUUCUUUCUUUCCUUUUCCCUUUGUUUAUAUAAGUCUGCUAGAGAAGGGGAUAUAGCUCAGCUGGCUAGAGCGGCGGCUUUGCAAGCCGUAGGUCAGGGGUUCAAAUCCCCUUAUCUCCAUAAAAGCAUGAAUAAUGCUUUUUCCGGUUUAUACUUGUAUUUAUCGGAGCAAGGUCUUUGACACGGAUAGGGAAGGGAAGAAAACGAAAAUCAAAUAAAAGAGCGUGUACACUUAUCUUUUUGGCGAGGAGCUGAAGGGGUAAGUAACGAAACGUAAAGAAGGGCCGGUAAUAU
rnacentral:tRNA from 2 species